CUCAAGCUCUAUUCAACUUGUUUAUGGUUAGCAAAAACUUGGCUACCUUAGAUUUUUUAUGCAUUUUUUGACCUGGUAGGCAAGUUCUAUUGGUUAUGCUAUUUUUGCAUGUAACAAUGUUUUCCUAUAUUAGAAAAGUUAUGGUCAUUUAGAACGAGAUGAGUGAGUCGAGCUCGAUAUGAACUAAGUUCUCCAUCGCGCUCAAGUAAAUUACUUAAUCAAACCAAGUUUCAGUUUGGAACUUAAGCUUGUUUAUUAAACCAAACGAGCUGAGCAUGUAUUCCUCUGUCACUUUGCAUUUAUUCUCUUCGAAGGAUAAAAAGAAGAUAUCAAGAAGUAUUUUUGCAUUCAAGGUUGAAGUCUCAUCCAAAUUAGUGGAUCUUGCUACCAAUCACGACGAGAGAUUUUAAACGAAGAAGGAUUCUCAAGUUUCAACUAGAAAUAAGGAAAUUAUUGAUGGCAACAGUUUUACCCCUAACCCUCCUGGUAGUCAAAAGAAGGUGCCGCAGUUCACCCCACGUAAAAGGUGACUGCAGUAGCUGCAAGAUUUCAGUCCAAGGCAAGUUCUUCUCAUACUCGGGAUUUUAGGCGUAAUACCCCAAUGGCAAGCUUGAUGUUUUGCCACCUCUGAGCUUUUGUUCCAUGGGAAGAUCAAAAAGCUCGUGCAAGCGACUGGUAAGGUCACAGAAUGUGUCUUCUUGGGUCUUAUUCAUGUCUAAACUGACUGGUUCUCUGGCUUGACGGCACUCCCUGUGAUCUGUACAAUAGGAAAAAAAUGUACUGUCUAAAAUUGCAAUUCCUUAGAGGAUAAGAGUUUGCAACAUAGAACAAGAAACUCAAAAGGGUACAGACAGAAGCAAGAAUUUUUUUUU